UGGUGGAGGAUGGGCAUGCAGGUGCAGCGUGUGGGACAUGGAAGCACUGGCGGAGCUAGGUAGAGACCAAGGUGGGCCAUGCCUCCCUGCUUGGAAGAAAGUUCUGAAGAAAUGAAAGGGCAUUAACUGCUAAGUAUGCGUGCUAUAUGCAAAUCAUUGCCGAUUCUUCUCGAGAAGUUCACAUAUUUGAUUGCUUUUUCAUACUAGUUAUAAUAUAUUUCCAUGGAGUUAAUUUGCGCUUACAUAAUAUAGCACUUGAGUUAUAGGUUGUUGAGAUCACGAUGAAAUUGACCCCCUUGAUC
rnacentral:lncRNA from 1 species